GGCAGCAUAUAAGAGUUCAAAAUGACCGAAACGACAACCAAGGGUGCAAAUGAACAGUAAAGAAGACACAACUGUGUAACCAACACAUUCGAACUGAAAACAAGUGAACAUCAAACCAUUUUAGACAAAACGAGGCCGAGAUUCAACUAGUCAUAUAGAUAUAAAUCGAGUUAAUGAACAUAACGAUCAACAUAUAAUAUCAAAGCAAACUUCAUUGAUGUCGAAUCCAUGCUUACUGUCUAAAAACUCGCAGGAAAACAAGAUUAAAUCGAGUGCUAAACGAAACAACCAAAUACUCUUAUUAACAGACCCUAUAUCAAGUGUUGAACACACACAACGUCCUACAUUGAAACAGAAUACAAAAGAAGGUGAGGUUACCUUUUUUCGGGCAGCGAUUGGGACGACGAGCUCGAUUAUGAAGCAACCCCCACUACCACAACAAAGUUUCAUUGGAGAAUCCUCCGAGUUCCCGAAACCAAAAGCCUCGAUUCCAAUGAAGCUAUUUGAGUCGUUCUUAAUAUCCAAAAUAUCUAUAUUUUUCUAGGUGAAAUUAGGUGAUCUAAUAAAAAAUAUGUUCUCUUUUUCGGUCU
rnacentral:lncRNA from 1 species